AUUUUACAAUCCACCUAGUACAAAGCGCUCAAUGUUCUCAAGUGGGUGGAUCCCCAUACUUUUGCUCUGGCAGGGUUUGGAAUUGCAUGAAUAUGGAUGCGGCGAUGAUGAAGCUGAUGAUGUGAAGAGAUGAUGAAGCCCUUCGUGACAAUGAGGAUGCAGAAGUGGAUGCUGACUAUCAACCACACUAGUGAAGUAGGAUGAGGUUGACAGCAACAACGAGGACCCGCUCAGCGCAGCAAGGAGCUAAACAGCUUCAAGGUUAAACUUGUCCUGUUAGGGGUCGCCACAGCGUCUCAUCUUAGAUGAACAUAUAUUUGUUUGGCACAGUUUUACGCCGGAUGCCCUUCCUGAUGCAACUCCUCUGCAUUUAGCUGGCGAGAAGUGAUCCCGAUGACCUUGUCAAGGAUUUCAGGCAAGCUUAUUCCGAGGCAUUGGAAUAUACACUGUGUGCAUAUUUUCAACCUCCCAUCACCUUACAAUUACUGUAAUGUCAAAAUCUUCAUGCCAGUCUUGUCAGUGUCAGACUUUAUUGACAUAGACAGGGCUGAAGUCUCCAUUGGAGGACUAUGUGUAUCUGUGAUGUGUCCUUUGACAGUGGGAGAGAAGCCCAGGAAACCACCCCUGCCCUUACGCCCUGGGUCAUCAAACAAAAGCAUCCAUCCAACACCUUUUGACAAGAGGUACAUCCGUAAGCAGUAACAAAGUAUGUGGUCCUACACCAGUCUCGGACACCCUACGGGUAACAACGAGGAAAUGACAGGUUGUUAGACUUGUCUCUAAAAGAGAAUUCCUUCCUCACUUGAUUUUUUUUUUCACCAACCUGAUUUUCAAGAAGUGUGUACUAAAAUGUUUUAGAAUGAGCUGCUACUUACAGUAUGUCCUAUUUCCAUUGGAUACAGAAGAGCUGAUAAUGGAUCACACAAGAGAAUUCGAACAGUGGAAGAGCCUGCCUGUGGCGUGUGGAAGAAGGAAACGUCCAACUUAAUAUCCUGUCUGGGGUGUGUACGCUCUCCAUCAGCCUCUAUCAGUGGAUCUGGCGGAUGGGCGGAUCAGGAGGGACAAAAUUGGACAUAAGAGGAGAUUUGAUGACCUUUCUACAACCUGGAGAGCAGGGUCAGAUGCAUCACCUCAUUUGUCACGAUUUCUGUGUACAAUUGUCUGUGCACUUGAGUCUUCUGAACAGGUGCCAUGUUUACUGUGCAUUUCCCAAGUACCAUAUUGUGUUUAGGCUUUGUCUCAAAUAGAAAAUGUUGUCAUUACACGUACCUUGAC